ACUCCUAAUGUGAACUUUUUGUCGAUCGAGCAUUAAGAAUGUUGCGCAAGAGACGUCUGUAUCGCAACUGGAUAACCGGUGUUUUAAAAGAUGUUAUUCAUCACAACUCCUAGUGGAGAUGGUGUGCCUGAUGGUUCUACAUGGACUCAAGGGAAAGAAAAAAAGUUAGAGAUCAGGGGACACAAGAUGAUACCUGGGAAACCAACAGGAAAAUAGGAGAACAAGCUACAAUGAGUUUGAUCAUCUGUUCAAUCAUGGUUUGUUCUACCAACUGGCCAUAUUGUGUAGCUUAUUUGCAUGGUGCUUAAUAUGUGGUGCAAAUGACACCAUUCUUAUAUA